rnacentral:rRNA from 1 species
UGGGGGAUAUUGCACAAUGGAGGGAACUCUGAUGCAGCGACGCCGCGUGAGGGAAGACGGUCUUCGGAUUGUAAACCUCUGUCUUUGGGGACGAAAAGAUGACGGUACCCAAGGAGGAAGCCACGGCUAACUACGUGCCAGCAGCCGCGGUAAUACGUAGGUGGCAAGCGUUGUCCGGAAUUACUGGGUGUAAAGGGAGCGUAGGCGGGGAGACAAGUUGAAUGUCUAAACUAUCGGCUUAACUGAUAGUCGCGUUCAAAACUAUCACUCUUGAGUGCAGUAGAGGUAGGCGGAAUUCCUAGUGUAGCGGUGAAAUGCGUAGAUAUUAGGAGGAACACCAGUGGCGAAGGCGGCCUACUGGGCUGUAACUGACGCUGAGGCUCGAAAGCGUGGGUAGCAAACAGGAUUAGAUACCCUGGUAGUCCACGCCGUAAACGAUGAUUACUAGGUGUGGGGGGACUGACCCCUUCCGUGCCGGAGUUAACACAAUAAGUAAUCCACCUGGGGAGUACGACCGCAAGGUUGAAACUCAAAGGAAUUGACGGGGGCCCGCACAAGCAGUGGAGUAUGUGGUUUAAUUCGAAGCAACGCGAAGAACCUUACCAGGUCUUGACAUCGAGUGACGAACUUAGAGAUAAGUUUUUCCUUCGGGACACAAAGACAGGUGGUGCAUGGUUGUCGUCAGCUCGUGUCGUGAGAUGUUGGGUUAAGUCCCGCAACGAGCGCAACCCUUAUCAUUAGUUGCUACGCAAGAGCACUCUAAUGAGACUGCCGUUGAUAAAACGGAGGAAGGUGGGGAUGACGUCAAAUCAUCAUGCCCCUUAUGACCUGGGCUACACACGUACUACAAUGGUGAUCAAACAGAGGGAAGCAACACAGCGAUGUGAAGCAGAACCCGAAAAAUCAUCUCAGUUCAGAUUGCAGGCUGCAACUCGCCUGCAUGAAGUCGGAAUUGCUAGUAAUCGCGGAUCAGCAUGCCGCGGUGAAUACGUUCCC